UUGGCGAUAGAAAACGAAGUGGAGCGAGCCGACUCAUUAUAAAAUUUUCCGUCUAAAAUCAUCGGAAUCUUUCUGGACGAAUCUACCGUCAAAAUCGUUUUAUUUGGAUCAGAUUACCGUCAUGUUUAAGGAACAACUUUACUCGAGCGUUCUUUCAUUUGUGAGUCGAUCUCGUUAUAUAAAUUCCUUCGUUUUUUUGUUUUAGUUAAUUAAUUAAUUAUCCCGUACUUAAAUUUGUAGGCAAGUGUGGCCUUGAACUUGGGAGAACGGUAUCCCGAACAUGUCAGCGAGGCGCAGCGGGUCACUCUCCUCAUCCUUUGCGGGGAUUCGGCCUACUUUACGCAGGACUACGCCCGGGCAGAAUCCUAUUAUCGGAAGGCCCUCGACCUUCACAAGUCGGUGUCGAAAGGGCCAACGCCAAAGGAGGAGGAGGGCAUCCCGGCAGAAGACAGCAAUGACGUCAAGUCCAAGCUGCACCUUUGCCUGAUGCAGUGUAAAAAAACAGAAGAAGCGCUCCACAUGCUCCAAAAUAUCUCCGCCAAGGCGCGCGCGGUCCGGACGAACAUGGCGCUGGGAAAGUUGUACAUGCAAUAUGGGAUGGAGCGCGUGGCCACUACGUUU